UGGGUCUGCUGACCAGGAGAAAAGGGAGCAAUGGAGAAGGAUAAGGAAAGAGAAACUGAGUGACUUCUCUGCCUCAAUCUUCACUACAAGGGACAGUGAGGGGGCAUCUGCUUUUUUCCAGCUUACUUGAAAAAAAUGGAUUCAAACUGGUUCGGGUAGGAGCCGUAUCACCCGGGUGGAAAACAAGCCGAAGCAAAAGGUACAUUGGUAUGUUUGUCCUGCCUUUUUAUAGUUUCAGUUUCCCUCUUGAAAAACAUUUCCAGCUGAG